GGUGCUGUGGCUUAGCUGGUAAAAGUGCCUAUCUUAUAAACACGAGAUCCUGGGUUCAAAUCCCAGCAGUGCCU